rnacentral:rRNA from 1 species
GAUGAACGCUGGCGGCGUGCCUAAUACAUGCAAGUCGAGCGAACGGACGAGAAGCUUGCUUCUCUGAUGUUAGCGGCGGACGGGUGAGUAACACGUGGAUAACCUACCUAUAAGACUGGGAUAACUUCGGGAAACCGGAGCUAAUACCGGAUAAUAUUUUGAACCGCAUGGUUCAAAAGUGAAAGACGGUCUUGCUGUCACUUAUAGAUGGAUCCGCGCUGCAUUAGCUAGUUGGUAAGGUAACGGCUUACCAAGGCAACGAUGCAUAGCCGACCUGAGAGGGUGAUCGGCCACACUGGAACUGGGACACGGUCCAGACUCCUACGGGAGGCAGCAGUAGGGAAUCUUCCGCAAUAGGCGAAAGCCUGACGGAGCAACGCCGCGUGAGUGAUGAAGGUCUUCGGAUCGUAAAACUCUGUUAUUAGGGAAGAACAUAUGUGUAAGUAACUGUGCACAUCUUGACGGUACCUAAUCAGAAAGCCACGGCUAACUACGUG